GGUUUAAUCGAAGCAACGCGAAGAACCUUACCAAAUCUUGACAUCCUUUGACAACUCUAGAGAUAGAGCUUUCCCCUUCGGGGGACAAAGUGACAGGUGGUGCAUGGUUGUCGUCAGCUCGUGUCGUGAGAUGUUGGGUUAAGUCCCGCAACGAGCGCAACCCUUAAGCUUAGUUGCCAUCAUUAAGUUGGGCACUCUAAGUUGACUGCCGGUGACAAACCGGA
rnacentral:rRNA from 1 species